rnacentral:rRNA from 1 species
UACGUAGGGGCAAGCGUUGUCCGGAUUUAUUGGGCGUAAAGAGCGUGUAGGCGGUUAGGUAGGUCCGUUGUGAAAACUCGAGGCUCAACCUCGAGACGCCGAUGGAAACCAUCUGACUAGAGUCCGGAAGAGGAGAGUGGAAUUCCUGGUGUAGCGGUGAAAUGCGCAGAUAUCAGGAAGAACACCCGUGGCUAAGGCGGCUCUCUAGUACGGUACUGACGCUGAGACGCGAAAGCGUGGGGAGCGAACAGG